AAGUCGUAACAAGGUUUCCGUAGGUGAACCUGCGGAAGGAUCAUUAACACGUAUCCAAACGUUAAAACCCCCCCCGUGAACCUUCAUCCUGCUCUUGUAACCCGCGGAGUUUGCAAUCUCUGAUAAAUCAUAGCCCGGAAAGUUGUAGUGAUUCAGAGACCUCUGGCUGCGUGCGAUCAUUGGAACAGUUACAAUCAAGCGGUAGUUCUAUAGACAAUGUUUCCCCAAGCAGUCAGUGUCGGAAAGUGUCAUUGAUUGUGCAAGGAUAGCGCUUCUACGAUUCCUGUAGACCGUACACUCGGGCAGGAGCUUUGCCAAAAGGUCCCCUUUAAUGUGAAGCUCAAAGGUCAAAAAACCGAACAACUGUUAACAAUGGAUAUCUUGGUUCUC
rnacentral:misc_RNA from 1 species